AAAGCAGAAAUAUAAAUAAUGGUACCGUCCAGCUGCGCGUAAGGUUUGUCUCCCCAGUGUGUUGCACGAGAACAUAUGGACGCGUUUCUUUCACGACCAACGCCCGGUUUAUGUAAAUGCGAUGUUAACGUUAACAAAGCAACUUUUUGCACACCACACGCUGUGAAAAGUGUCUCUUGGUUUCUCGUUCUUUUAUUCAUCAUGUGCCGUUAGUCUGCGCGUUCCCGCUUUUAAUGCACGUCAUUCUCGUAUUUCAGAUCCUUCACACGGAAAACACGGGUUGCUCUAGAACCCGCAUAGCCCACCAGAGUAAUCGUGGCGUGGAUCGGAAAAGCAUAACGACUGCGAAGCAAUAUGUCGGACUCCACAAGCGCCUCCUGUAACGGGGGAUACACAGGAAAGCUCUAUACGUAGAAAACCAACUGAUGACAUGACUUCCACGGCUGCCCGGAAUGCUUCCUGUUUUCCUCAACCGUUUCUGU